rnacentral:lncRNA from 1 species
CUCUGUACGUUCGAAACAUAUAAUCCUGCUUUCUUGGACGGCAAGGUUAAGCUUUCACUUUUUUUUCAGAGUUUUGUUUCUAAUUUCUUUUAACCGUUCUUCUUUUUUGGACUUAUUUGGUUCCAUACAUUCCACCUAUUUCCAUCAAAUCGUUCUUAAUUUGUUCGAGUUGGAAGAUGGACUUUUAAUUUGCCAUACUAAGUUAAAAGGUUGCGACGAGCUGUUUGAUCGACAUUUUAAGUUUAGGUCUUCGAAACUGUCACUGUUGGCAGAUGUAACUCAAACAAUUUAACGAUUAUGUACUUUUGAAUGGAACCUUAUAUACACC